UUUAUUGCUGGCAGGAAUGUGGCUGAGCUGUAGCCACAAAGACAUCUGUUAGCAAUCUGCAGCCUCUGAGCGGCCCCCAGUUUUGUAGGCGUUUCAUCUGAAACUCGGGUUCACUCCUGCCUUUCUAACAACUUUUUUUUCUAAAAAAUAUUUUCUGCCUGUUGCGGAGAUCCACAUUCUGAUGCCCACACCUCGGGUCCACACAGCCGGCUCCAAAUCCAGGCCCAGCUACUCACAGCUGCGUGACCUUAGGGACAUGAGCUUUCUGGUUUCUGAUUUAUAAAAUGAACUUAAUAAGGCCGUCGUGACGUGUACCUGGGAUAUCAACAACGCCUCAGAGAAUGUCCCCACCGGAGAGGGACAGGCUGAGUUUGUGAACCUGCCAUGACUCAGCAACGCGGAGAAACAGCAUUCCAUGGGCAGGCAGCCAUGAGUUUCCUCUGCUGUGCCCCCUG